rnacentral:rRNA from 1 species
GUCCACGCCCUAAACGAUGCAUAUUUGGUGUAGGUCAUUCAGUUGAUCUGUGCCGGAGCUAACGCGUUAAAUAUGCCGCCUGGGGAGUACAGUCGCAAGGCUGAAACUCAAAGGAAUUGACGGGGGCCCGCACAAGCGGUGGAGCAUGUGGUUCAAUUCGACGCAACGCGAAGAACCUUACCUGGGCUCGAAACGGCUGGUUAACGGCAUUGGAAAACAGUGCUACUCCGCAAGGAGGUCCAGUCGAGGUGCUGCAUGGCUGUCGU